ensembl:lncRNA
CGCAUUUAUCCUUGUCAAGAAUCAGGGAGCGAGCGGUAUUUACAGACAGUUUGAUCUUCAUUACAAACAGAGACUUUAAGACUAGUCAAAUAGUGACUUUGUUGAUUAUUCAAGAUGCAGAACAGGCCAGCCCAGUGAACACGGAGUUAUUUUCAGGCAGUUAAGCCACUAAAGCAGGAAAAUCUAAGGCUCUAUAAGUUGCUGGUUAAGGAAAUGUCUGCUUGUGAGGCACCAUUCCCACUGCUGUUUUCUUCAAUAGUUCCAUCAUGUGUGUGUGGUAUGUAGUGCUAUGCUUUCCAUUGGAAGAUGCCAGCCCUGUUUUACUCAGCAACAGAACGUAGUUUAAAUAUGUGUGCAAGAAGGGACUUAACUGAGUCCCACCUUACUGAUACUCCAUGGUUCUUCAUUCUUUUAACACAGUUUAAUCAUCACUUCAGCAAUUUCCAGUAGUUCCCUUCAUUCUCCCCAUAAGUUGCAGAGGAAACCCAGACAACUGAUGCAGGGCUAAAGAUUCCCUGGAGUCACAGAGAGCUAUAAAGUGGGAUUCUUCUGUAACCACCUCUUACUGCUGGUCUGUCUGUUACAUUCUACAGUUAGUAAACAAGUAGGAAAAUAUUUGUUACAGGGUGUGUGUACACACACACAUAUAUAUAUGUUUGCAUAUAUAUAUAUAUACAUAUAACAGUUUUAAUUAAGUUUUGUUUAAUUUUACUUUAGGUUAAAACUGAGACCAUCUUUUCUCUAAACCUAAACAUUAGGAGAACUACAUGACAGCAGUAUAAGUCAAUAAAUGUUAAUUUAAAUUAUUCAUUUCAGCCACACAAGAAGAGCUUAAGGAUCAGGUUAUGAGAUGAGCUGGACAAAGUCCACAAAUAAUUUUACAGAAAAAAACGAUUUCUUAUCUUUUCUUUCUUUCCUUUUUUUCUUUUUUUGUCUGAUCAGCAUUUUGAAUCAAGUAUAGUGAUGGAGGAAGGUGUUGCGUCUGUGUUUGUUUUCAAGUGAAAGAAGGUUGGCAGCAGCAUUUGGAACACAUGGCAUAAGUCUGGGAACUGGGCCUUACAGCCAUCGUAAAGAAGUGAGCUUCAGCUUCCAAGAAGAGAAGAAAGCAGAGAGAUAUAAUUGGGCAUUUCAAUCUCAUCUGACCAAAGCCUUCAUGUGGAAGAGGAAUCUGCCUGUCAAAGAAAUCGGAGAGCUUCUCUGGAUCCCAUUUCCAUCCAAUCAAAGAUGCUUUGUAUUCACCAUCAUUAAUCGUACAAUUUGCAUUUGUGUAGAAAGUAAUAGAGGAAAUAUCCCAAGUUCAUUACCAAAAGGUAAUGAAGAGCAUCCCCAAAAAUUUGUGUGAUCUGGAUUGGAAUUCUGAAGCAGUUGAUACAAUCAGGGAAAAACAGAAGGAUUUGGCAGGAAAGAACAAGGAGAAUGGGGUUUAUGGAAGAAGAAGUUUGAAGUCUUCCAACUUCACUCAAGAAGUGUUAGUUCACUCAGUUAGGAAACUGGCACACUGACUGGCCAUCCAGGAUGGGACAGAUCUUGUCAGUAUCAGAGGAGUAAUAUUUUCACAAGGAUGAACUGCCACUGAAUGAUACAGAAACACUUUUGUCUUCAAUAUCAUGCAGGUAUUUUGGGAAGAUAAGUCCCUGUAUUAUUAAUUAUGACAUUUAAAAAUGAUUCUGUUCCUUGGGAACAAGAAGACAAAUAUUUAUCUCCAUGGUUAUGUUUUGCAGAGCACUCUAGAAGCAUCAAAAAAGUGCAAGAUCUUGUUCCUGGCAUAUAUUUCCUUUGGGCUAAUCUUUCAAGACUCCAAAAGGUGUUGAGAUACGGUUGAUGUUAUGCAACCUUCAACACUAAAGCAGAUGUACAUCGUUCCUCCUUUGAGAAGUCUUAUUUUGAUCUCUGGAGACCCAUAUAGUGGUCCUCGCUAAAUCAUUUUGAGCAGAAGGGGAAUGUGCCCAGAGCAUUAUAGAAGCAGCAAUCUGUAGAUGGAAGUUAUAUGUGGAGUUUGAUGAAGCUGGCACUUUUCCUCCUGUAUGUUAAAUAAACAAGAAGUUACUGUGUAGUGUGUGGUGAUGCAGGCUGAUACUCUGCUGCUGAAUAAAACAAUGACAUGCUAAGACUCAGACUAUUUCCUUGUAUAGUCCUCAAAAAAUAGGAUUUUUUGUUUCUGAUACAUCUGAAAAUUCACAGGCAAAUAUGCAACUAAUCAAACCUCGCAGAGAUGCUAACACCCAGAUGUGUGUGUUUCUGUGUGGAAGCAAUCUAUGGCUAAUAGUUACAGAACUCUUGGAUAGAGAAAUCCUGUAAAAAUACAGAUUAGGCAUACAUAAGUUAAAUAUGUCUAACUAGUGUGCCAAGAAUUUAUAGUUUUAUGAAAUCUGUAUUAUGUAAAGAUCUUUCAAUAUUUCCUUCUAAAAAGUUUUCAUUAAUAUACAAAAAGGAGGAUAUGGAUUUCCAUAAUAAGCAGAAGAACCUUCCCAUUUCAUGUACAAUAAAUGAAAAUAAC